AAAGCCCAAAAAAUCUUAAAAAUAAAUAAAAACCAGGAGACAUUUCUUUUAAUGCAACAGCUCCAUGCAGAUUUGCAGUUUCCACAAAUAACUAGUCAGGCACAGGUUUGUUAUUAUUAUUAUUAUUAUUAUUAUUAACACAUUGGAGAUAAAGCCACUCAUGUCAUUGCAGGAGAUGGAUAGACCACCUGCAGCUCCAGAGUCCAUUUCAAUCGGGAGUGAAAGUGAUAGCGAGGCAACACAAAAAAGUUGUGUGGCCUGCCGCUUAGAAGUGUUGUUUGAAGAAUAUAUUAUGUCACAUUUUGGUGUGAGAGCAACAGAGCUGGGGGAUUCAUUGAUGACAAAUGUGUGACUUUACGUCAGACUUUACUUACUUUCAGUAAUUACAUACUUUUAUCUUGUUAGAAUAUCGCAAUAUGUUUAAAAUUGCAAUAAUAUCAUAUCGUGACAUAAGUAUCGUAAUGAUAUUGUAUCAUGAGGCCUCUGGUGAUUCCCACCCCUGCUACAUAGGCACAGUGAAGCUGAGCUAAAUGCUCACGUCAGCAUGUUAACAUGCUGAUGUUUAGCGGAUAUAAUGUUUACCAGGUUCAUUAUCUUACUGAUGGCGUUGUCAUUAAUUUCCGCAGGUAUCUGCACAUACACCAAAUUAUUGGACAAAUUAAUAAUUUGACCUGUUGGUGGUGCUAGAGGGAAGUAAGUAAGUAAGGGGAUCACCAAAGCCCAGAGGAUUCAUCCUCUGGAGGCCAUCAACGUCUGUACAAAAUGUUAUGACAACCUAUCCAGUAGUUGUUUGGAUAUUUCGGUCUGUACCGAGUUACCUGCCAGCCAGGCACUGCCACCCAUAGCUGCUAGCAUGGCUAAAAACUAUCUAGGAUUGUCCCAU